rnacentral:rRNA from 1 species
UACGUAGGAGACGAGCGUUGUCCGGAGUUACUGGGCGUAAAGGGUGCGCAGGUGGCGGCGCGCGUGGGGGGUGAAAUCGCCCGGCUUAACUGGGCGGGGGCCUUCCAGACGGCGUGGCUUGAGCAGCGGAGGGGGACGUGGAAUUCCGGGUGGAGCGGUGAAAUGCGUAGAGAUCCGGAAGAACACCGGUGGCGAAGGCGGCCUGCUGGGCUAUGGCUGACACUGAGGCGCGACAGCGUGGGGAGCAAACAGG